AGCGAACGCUGGCGGCAGGCUUAACACAUGCAAGUCGAGCGGACCUUUCGGGGUCAGCGGCGGACGGGUGAGUAACGCGUGGGAACGUGCCUUCCGGUUCGGAAUAACCCUGGGAAACUAGGGCUAAUACCGGAUACGCCCUUAUGGGGAAAGGUUUACUGCCGGAAGAUCGGCCCGCGUCUGAUUAGCUAGUUGGUGGGGUAACGGCCUACCAAGGCGACGAUCAGUAGCUGGUCUGAGAGGAUGAUCAGCCACACUGGGACUGAGACACGGCCCAGACUCCUACGGGAGGCAGCAGUGGGGAAUAUUGGACAAUGGGCGCAAGCCUGAUCCAGCCAUGCCGCGUGAGUGAUGAAGGCCUUAGGGUUGUAAAGCUCUUUUAUCCGGGACGAUAAUGACGGUACCGGAGGAAUAAGCCCCGGCUAACUUCGU
rnacentral:rRNA from 1 species